AUAAAAUACAUUUUAAUGGAGAUGGGAAAUGUUAGCCCAACCCGCCUGAAAGGGAAAUGACAGGAUUGUCAACACCACUGUCCUGAAAAGAUCAAACAGCACAUGGGAUGUACACUGGGUUGAGUUCGUGUCCAAUCCCAGAGAUAUCCUUGGAGAGAUCCACUUCACCCUGGUAGGAGGAGGGCCUUCUGAAGAACAGUGGCCUCUCUGCCUGUCCUAAUCCCCAUAAAUCAAGAUACAGCGGUAUCACUCUUUGCCUUUCAACAAAUUUUGCCACUGUAUUGAUUUUUAUUGUUAUGGAAGGAGAGGUUUGGAGGGAUAAUUUAGUAGGUGAGAGUCAUAGCAAUUUUCAGGAAGAUGAGGAGGUGAAAAAGUACAAAGAACACAGGGUUAAAAGAAAAGAAGUUAGGCAGGUAACAAUGAUUUUCAAGGAGAUAAAAGACUAUAGUAGAGGCUGGGAUGUGUGUGUGUGUGUGUGUGUGUGUGUUUUGGAAACAGCUAUUCCCAAGUAAGGCCAGAAGAAUUAAAAAUAGAUUCAUUUUAUCUGGAGAAAAUGACUUUAUCCAAAAGAAAGAACUUCUUGUCAAUGAGCAUAGCUGGAUCCAAGAAUUCAUUACAGAAGAAAGCUAACCCAACAAUGAAGGCGUUCCAAAAUUAAGGCGCAUCAUCUCUCCUGAGCAUAAUUUCAGGGUCUUUCUAGGAUGGCACAUGAAGACCAGGAUGUGAGUUUCUAGGGUCCCUCUAAGUCUUAGAAGUCUGAAAACUUGAGAUUUACUACAAAAUUCCACAGAGAAUUUUUUUUUAAAUUUGUAAUUUAAAGACUAAAGAAAAAUGGCUUUGUCAGUGUAAUUCUUUAAGGCCUCUAGGUGGUGUUCAGCUUUCUAAGCCUGGGAUUUAGGAGAACGUUCCUGCUCCACUUUCAGAUUGAAAAAGAAAAUGAAUAAUUCUUAAGAAAUGUCACUGAGCUGUUUUUCAUCCAUAUCUUAGACUCAACUUUGCAUGCUUUAUACAUUCUGGAUAUUUAGUGGCUAAUAUGGAAUUAUGACCUUCUAUGAUAUUAUUUAUUAGGCAAUAAAAGUUACUCCUCAUCAGAUUCCGUCAUAAUUUUGACAGCAUUGAACCAAAAUACUAAUGUCCAAAGAAAAAAAGCUUGAGAAUUUUAGACCCUGAGACUGAGCUAAUAUAGACCACAGUGACACAUCUUGGGAGUCAUGAAAAUUCCGGCAUUUUAAUAAUCUUCCUAGACACCCUGACUUGUCAGGAACCCGAGUGGCCUCCGACAGUCUUGCUAAGGGCAGGGACUUUCCCAAUGGCGGCACUACUGGUGGGUGUACCUGGACUGAGUCUGCAUCAAUGUCCUCCCCCAAAUGCUGUCUCCACACUGCACCUCAACCAGAAUUUUGUCAUUGGGACCAGAAUAAGGCAGUCCCUAGCUUGCUCAGGAUCCUAGAGAGCUCUUUGGGAGAAGGGUAAGUAAGGUCACCCUAUGAGCUCACAAGAAAAGUUGAAAGUUUUGCACCCGGCAAUGAUUCUCCCAAAGCUCUAAAAUAUUUUAAAAUUGGAGGGACUGUUUUUCUGAUGAAGAGGAGGUGGUAGCUCUCCUCUGAUUUCUUUAUAUUUUUAAGCCUUUGGCAGGUUUUAACAAAUGGAGGUCAGUGCCCGGAGAGAUGUGCCAUGUCUUCCGGAGAGAACUGGUUUGCUUCUUUACUAUCAGACUCGGAAGUUUAUGGCCAUGAGAGGUGCGCCGUUCCCACCCCCAUCCCAACUUGAGAUGCUCAAGAAAGCAAUAAAAACAGGAAUGUCCUUAUCUCCUGUCUCCUCUUCCUGCAGACAACCAGGAGCAGCUGCCCGAGGCUUUAUUGCUCCAAAUGUAAAUCUGAGCAGAUAAGAUCACACAUUUAUGGAAUAAGUAAAUCAUUACAUGGUUUCAGUUUUGGAAAUUAGGUUUGUCCCCCAAGUAUUGAAUUCUCUUGUUUUAAGUAAGCCUGAAAAUAAUUGCUGAACUUUGAUACAACUACUUUUUAUUCAUACUUUUAUGUCCAUAUCAAACUCUUUUAAUUUAUUAAUUGGAAGCUAUUCCAUAGAAUGAAAGUAGAGACAAAUAUAAAUCUUUUUUUUUCAGGAAAAUAAGUAUGAGCCCAGUACCUAAUAAGCCAAUUCUUGCCAUUCUAGGGGGAGAAAGGCAAUCAGUGAUGAGGCUGAAUAAGAAUUUUUCUUAUACUUCAUCCAAGUACAAGCCAUAAAACAAAGAUAUAUUGAGAAUACCCAUUACUUCCAGCAGUAGAGACCUUAGAUCUGAAGCAGAAAUCCCUUAAAAGUAUCCAUUCCACCUCUCAUCUUACAAAAUUCUCAUGUGAGUUAUGAAAUGUUAAUGUGGACAAAGGUUCUGUGUUUAAAUAAGUUUUGGAAAUGCUCAAAGUUGAACAGGUUUCUUUAGCGCACAACUUAAGACAGCUUUGAGUUUGUAUUGUGAUCUCCAAGGGGAUGGGGGCAAGCAGGCACCCAAAUCUUGGACUUCCCAAGCAGAACUAGGUGGACACAUGUGGCUUAUCACUGGACUGCAGAAUUGACAAAAACCGAGGUUCAGCGACAGAGCCUUGCUCUCCAUGCAUUUUGAAUAAUCCUUGGGUUAGUAAUGAGGUUAUAUGAGAAUCAAGCCUGCUGAUAACUUCACACUAAAAGGAUUUCAAAGGCUUUUAUCUAAAAGAUAAAAGAUGGAUUUGAAUUUCUACCAGGUUAGUUUCAGCCUCUAAAAUCUCAUAUUCUGCAACUGCAUGGUAUUCCCAGAGGUUGUGAAACAAAACUCUUUUACUGUGAGAUUCACAGGCAUUCAGCUAAAAUCAGAACUGGGUAAGAGCGUUUAAUCAACUAUUGGAUAACACAAAAUAUAAUUUUCAUGAGAUUCACAGACACACACACACGGAAAUACCAUAACUUAGUUCUGAAAUCAAGAAAAGAUUCAAAGCUUUUAAUUUCCAUUUACCCACCAAUAUUCAGUUUCCAAUAACAGAAACUGUAUUUAAACAAAAUAUACACAAAAUGAUUUGAAUUAAAAAUGACUAACUCUUUAAAAAAAGGCUUUCUCAACACUCAGUUAUUCUCUGUGGCUCCAUUAGUUCUAGUUCCUUUACAAACUAUACGUAUAAUGUAUGUAUAUAUACAUACAUAUGUAUGUAUUCAAUUCACCAUGUGCAAGAAAGUUAAUGGGAGGAAAAUAAGUUUAAUCAUAAUAUUACAAAUUAUAUUGAAAAAUAAAAGGCUAGUGGCAUCUGCCAGCACACGCCCUGCCUGAUUCCCUACUGUGCACUCAGCCCUUCACAUCCUGUUAAGCUCCUUCCAGGUCUUCUAAGUGUCGAAUCAAUGCCCUUCUGCCAUAUCUGAUCCCGAAGGAUUUCUUUGCAGCUUUGGGAUCUACUAUAUAUAAUCUUCUCUGUGGGAUUCUCCUCCCUGGACUUCAGAGUUUCAUUUUCUGCAUCUCUGAUCUCUUCUCUUCCAACACUUUCCCUAACCUGAAGGUAGAUAUUCCCCCAUGUUCUGUUCUUGAACCUCUUCUCACUCAAGUCACCUCAUCCAAUCUCCACUGAAACAUCUUCAGUCUGAUUCUAACUCUUGAGCUAUAAAACCAAAUUUCCAACUGAGAAGUCUCCUGGACAUUGCCAGCAGGACCUCGAGGACACAUCAUGUGUCUCAAACCAAUCACAUUACCUUCCUCCCCAUCUUACCUGUUUAUCUUCCUGUGUUUCUAUCUCAGGAAGGGACAUCUGAGAUGUGGCACCUCCAUCUUGGACUAGAAACUUCAGAAUCGGCUGAGACUUCUCUUCCCAAGGUGCCAACAACCAACAACCACCAGAUAGAUGACUGAAACCAAGGUCAGAUCAUGCCACUCACUCACUGCCUAUGAAAGCAUGAAGACCACCGAGCUGUCAAGGAGCCCUGACUCCACACUGCUAGGUUUAUUUGGCCUACCAGAAUGGCCAGUAGAUGAUCUGUUGUUUUCUCUUUGCCCCUGAAGCUGUUUGUCAAGAGUAUGGGAACAACAGUGCUUCCCUGGUAGAAGCAACAAUUACAUUUAUAACUCAGAGCUUGGCAUUUGAAACUCAGCAGUUAUUAUUGAAGGUUCUCGUUGAUCUAGGUCCCAGACUACCUCGUCAAUGCCUACUAGAUACCUUGAGCCACCAUGCCACAACUUCUGACCAUUCUUUACAACACAAGAUUUUUUCCUAUCUUCUGCUCCUAGAAACUUGAUGUUCUUCAAGGCUCAAUCCAAAUAUGAUGAAUUCCAUGAUAUCUUCUUUGAUUUGCCUCCCAACCAGGUUGACAGCCUUUCUUAGCUUUCUUAUUUGAUUUUUCUUCUAGAUAAGGGUUUCUCAACCUUGGCACAAUUGGCAUAUAUUUUUUACUGGCUGAUUUUGUUUGUUUUUUAAUUAAACUUUUUAUUUUGAGAUAAUUAUAGAUACACAGGCAUUUGUAAGAAAUAAUACAGAAAAAUCCCAUGUACCUUUUACCCAACUUCCCCAAAUGGCAACAUAUUGUAAAACUAUAGUACAAUAUCACAAUCAGGAUACUGACAUUUUAUACUCACAUCCCCCUCUUUCCUGCCUCCACUCCCUCCUUAACCCUUCAGGUAGCCACUAAUCUGUGCACCAUUUCUAUAACUUUGUUAUAUCAAGGAUGUUAUGGAAAUAGAACCAUACAGUACGUAAACUUUUGGGAUUGCGUAUUUUCACUCAGCCUAAUUCACUUGAGUUAUCCAGGUUGUUGUGUGUAUCAACAGUUUGUAAAUUUUUCUUGCUGAGGAGUAUUCCAUGGUAUGCAUGUACCAAAGUUGGUUUAAUCAUUCACCCAUUGAAAGGAUAUCUAGGUUGGAAAUAUUAUUAAUAAAGUUGCUAUCAACA